GUGAUUCUAACUAACUUUGGAAGCGAGAACCUCGUGACUUCCACCUGGGCCUCUGGGAACACUGUGCUUGGGAUGCUCCCUCUUGGAACCCAGCGUCCAGGCUGUGAAAACCCAAGCCACCUAAAAGGCCACAGUGGACAGCCCUCACUGAGCUCCCUGCCCACAGGCAGAAUCAGCUACCAGCCAUGUAUAUUUAAGUCAUCUUGGUCAUCAGCCUAGGGAAGUCUUCAGAUGACUGCAGCCCCAGGCCAAGAUCUGUCUACAGCUGCAUGAGAGGCCCCAAGUGAGAACCGCCCAGCUGUGCCCAGUCAACCUACAGAACCAAGAGAGAGAAUAGUAACUCACUUUUCAGUUUGUUGGAUUUUCUCUGGAGGUUUCUUCCCUCUUGAUCACUGGAAGGCUGCGACAGUUCCAGGUAGCACGUCCUCUUUUUAUGAAGAGCAAAAAUGUUUCCCAGGAUCCUAUCAGCAAACUUAACCUUGUGUCCUACUGAUGGAGAUUGAAUCACAGGCCCAUGACUUUGUGGCAUUUCUGGCCUAUAUAGUGUGGAAAGUAGGAUCUACUAGCAAAGAAGAACAGAGCAGAGGAGGG
rnacentral:lncRNA from 1 species